UAGAUAGCUCCGUCGGUAGAGCACGAGACUCUUAACCUCCAGGCCGUGGGUUCGAGUCCUGCAUCGCGGAAAAG